UACGUAGGAGGCAAGCGUUGUCCGGAAUCACUGGGCGUAAAGCGCGUGUAGGCGGAGGUCUAAGUCUGUCGUGAAAGCCCCGGGCUUAACCUGGGAAGUGCAUCGCAAACUGUGUAACUGGAGUAUAUGAGAGGGUGGCGGAAUUUCCGGUGUAGCGGUGAAAUGCGUAGAGAUGUGGAGGAACACCAAUGGCGAAGGCAGCCUUCUGGGCCAACACUGACGCUCAUGCACGAAAGCGUGGGGAGCAAACAGG
rnacentral:rRNA from 1 species